rnacentral:rRNA from 1 species
UCGAUUCCCUUAGUAGCGGCGAGCGAAACGGGAAGAGCCCAAACCAACAAGCUUGCUUGUUGGGGUUGUAGGACACUCUAUACGGAGUUACAAAGGACGACAUUAGACGAAUCAUCUGGAAAGAUGAAUCAAAGAAGGUAAUAAUCCUGUAGUCGAAAAUGUUGUCUCUCUUGAGUGGAUCCUGAGUACGACGGAGCACGUGAAAUUCCGUCGGAAUCUGGGAGGACCAUCUCCUAAGGCUAAAUACUCUCUAGUGACCGAUAGUGAACCAGUACCGUGAGGGAAAGGUGAAAAGCACCCCGGAAGGGGAGUGAAAUAGAACCUGAAACCGUGUGCUUACAAGUAGUCAGAGCCCGUUAAUGGGUGAUGGCGUGCCUUUUGUAGAAUGAACCGGCGAGUUACGAUUUGAUGCAAGGUUAAGCAGUAAAUGUGGAGCCGUAGCGAAAGCGAGUCUGAAUAGGGCGUUUAGUAUUUGGUCGUAGACCCGAAACCAGGUGAUCUACCCUUGGUCAGGUUGAAGUUCAGGUAACACUGAAUGGAGGACCGAACCGACUUACGUUGAAAAGUGAGCGGAUGAACUGAGGGUAGCGGAGAAAUUCCAAUCGAACCUGGAGAUAGCUGGUUCUCUCCGAAAUAGCUUUAGGGCUAGCCUCAAGUGAUGAUUAUUGGAGGUAGAGCACUGUUUGGACGAGGGGCCCCUCUCGGGUUACCGAAUUCAGACAAACUCCGAAUGCCAAUUAAUUUAACUUGGGAGUCAGAACAUGGGUGAUAAGGUCCGUGUUCGAAAGGGAAACAGCCCAGACCACCAGCUAAGGUCCCAAAAUAUAUGUUAAGUGGAAAAGGAUGUGGCGUUGCCCAGACAACUAGGAUGUUGGCUUAGAAGCAGCCAUCAUUUAAAGAGUGCGUAAUAGCUCACUAGUCGAGUGACACUGCGCCGAAAAUGUACCGGGGCUAAACAUAUUACCGAAGCUGUGGAUUGUCCUUUGGACAAUGGUAGGAGAGCGUUCUAAGGGCGUUGAAGCAUGAUCGUAAGGACAUGUGGAGCGCUUAGAAGUGAGAAUGCCGGUGUGAGUAGCGAAAGACGGGUGAGAAUCCCGUCCACCGAUUGACUAAGGUUUCCAGAGGAAGGCUCGUCCGCUCUGGGUUAGUCGGGUCCUAAGCUGAGGCCGACAGGCGUAGGCGAUGGAUAACAGGUUGAUAUUCCUGUACCACCUAUAAUCGUUUUAAUCGAUGGGGGGACGCAGUAGGAUAGGCGAAGCGUGCGAUUGGAUUGCACGUCUAAGCAGUAAGGCUGAGUAUUAGGCAAAUCCGGUACUCGUUAAGGCUGAGCUGUGAUGGGGAGAAGACAUUGUGUCUUCGAGUCGUUGAUUUCACACUGCCGAGAAAAGCCUCUAGAUAGAAAAUAGGUGCCCGUACCGCAAACCGACACAGGUAGUCAAGAUGAGAAUUCUAAGGUGAGCGAGCGAACUCUCGUUAAGGAACUCGGCAAAAUGACCCCGUAACUUCGGGAGAAGGGGUGCUCUUUAGGGUUAACGCCCAGAAGAGCCGCAGUGAAUAGGCCCAAGCGACUGUUUAUCAAAAACACAGGUCUCUGCUAAACCGUAAGGUGAUGUAUAGGGGCUGACGCCUGCCCGGUGCUGGAAGGUUAAGAGGAGUGGUUAGCUUCUGCGAAGCUACGAAUCGAAGCCCCAGUAAACGGCGGCCGUAACUAUAACGGUCCUAAGGUAGCGAAAU